UACGUAGGGUGCGAGCGUUAAUCGGAAUUACUGGGCAUAAAGCGUGCGCAGGCGGUUCGUUGUGUCGGCGGUGAAAGCCCCGGGCUCAACCUGGGAAUGGCCGUUGAAACUGGCGAACUGGAGUGUGGCAGAGGGGGGUGGAAUUCCGCGUGUAGCAGUGAAAUGCGUAGGGAUGCGGAGGAACACCGAUGGCGAAGGCAGCCCCCUGGGCUGACACUGACGCUCAGGCACGAAAGCGUGGGGAGCAAACAGG
rnacentral:rRNA from 1 species